rnacentral:rRNA from 1 species
CCUUACCUACACUUGACAUCCAGAGAAGCCAGCGGAGACGCAGGUGUGCCUUCGGGAGCUCUGAGACAGGUGCUGCAUGGCUGUCGUCAGCUCGUGUUGUGAAAUGUUGGGUUAAGUCCCGCAACGAGCGCAACCCUUAUCCUUGUUUGCCAGCGAGUAAUGUCGGGAACUCCAGGGAGACUGCCGGUGAUAAACCGGAGGAAGGUGGGGACGACGUCAAGUCAUCAUGGCCCUUACGAGUAGGGCUACACACGUGCUACAAUGGCGCAUACAGAGGGCAGCCAACUUGCGAAAGUGAGCGAAUCCCAAAAAGUGCGUCGUAGUCCGGAUUGGAGUCUGCAACUCGACUCCAUGAAGUCGGAAUCGCUAGUAAUCGUAGAUCAGAAUGCUACGGUGAAUACGUUCCCGGGUCUGUACACACCG